rnacentral:rRNA from 1 species
GUGCAGCAGUCGCGAAACUUCGGCAAUGGGCGCAAUCCUGACCGAGCGACGCCGCGUGGAGGACGAAGGCCUUCGGGUUGUAAACUCCUGUCGAGGGGGGAGGAAGGGGCAACCUUGACCGAUCCCUGGAGGAAGCACGGGCUAAGUUCGUGCCAGCAGCCGCGGUAAGACGAACCGUGCGAACGUUAUCCGGAAUCACUGGGCUUAAAGCGCGUGUAGGCGGGCCGCCCCGUCGGCUGCUGAAAUCCCCCGGCUCAACCGGGGAGGUGGCACCGAUACGAGCGGCCUCGAGGGGGGUAGGGGGUCUGGAACUUCCGGUGGAGCGGUGAAAUGCGUUGAGAUCGGAAGGACGCCGUGGCGAAAGCGAGGCCCUGGACCCUUAUGACGCUGAGACGCGAAAGCCA